rnacentral:rRNA from 1 species
CGCGACCCCGGAUCAGGCGGGAUUACCCGCUGAAUUUAAGCAUAUCAAUAAGCGGG